UUGAUUUGUGAUUUGGACGAAAGUAGCCCUAGUUUAAUAAUUUAUAUAGAAAAGUGAAAGAGGAAGUAAAGAAGAAGAAGAAGAAUGAAUGUUGAAGCACAUGAAGACGACCCUUUUGGGUUUAUUAUUGAAGAAUACAAAAUAUCCCUUUCCUAAGAGGAACUCUUACGUAACACUCCCUUAGUCGGAGAUUACUCCUACCAACCCCCCAUUCUUCCUUCUCUUACCCCCCCUCUCCCUCCCCCCGUUCCUUCUCUUACUCCUCUUCUUCAUCAUUGUACUCUUAAUCUCGCCUCUGAUAUUGACGAUCACUUCCAUUGCUUCGUUGAUUUAACUCAGGAUUCUGAUUUAGGGUUUUCUCACCCUCAUCCCAAUCAUAAUGGUAUCGAACAACCCCUCCAGGAGAACCACAAUAAUCUCCAAACUCAACAACCUUCUCCAAUGUCUGAACUAAUCCGAUUUCUUUUGGAUAAGGCUACUCAAUCUGGCAACGAUCAUUUUUCUGUUUUUGAUGUAUUGCAAUUUCUCGCGAUAAAGAGGAGUGGUACUGAAGUUCCAGUUCAACUCAAUGGUCUUUCUGUGUUGGAAGUUGCAAAGCUUGCUCAUAUUACUUUUCCUCGCCCAAGGUGGUGGCCUCACCAUUUUCAAUCCAAAUUAUUCAACUUCCAUGAUUAACUGUCACGGAGGACGUUGAUGGUUUGCUUUUUUUUUUGGAACAUUCUCUCACUUGCACUUCCAAGUGUUUUUUUUAUGUUUAAUGGUGCUUCAGCUGCUUUGUUGUUACUAGUCUCAGUCAAUUAAUCUCCAAAUUGAAAAUGAAGACUACAUUUAGGAUGUGUUUGGUUUGGUUUAUUAUUCUCAUUUUCAGCUGAUAUAUUUUCAUCACAAUUAUAAUUACAUAAAUACUACCUUGUUUUUGAAUCAUUGUUGUAAGGAUGUUGAGCCAUUUGAAGCUCUGCAUAUGAUAUGCUAUAAUGGUUGUAACUUCUGCAAAAAGCUUCCAUAACUGCAUUGUUUCCACCCUUGUUGUUGUUGUUGCCAUUGGUUUUGAUGAUCGGUGUAAGGAUCUUCUUUCACUUGGAGAUAUGAGUUUAGCAUGCAAAGGCCAUUGUUUGAAGCAAUUUUUAUUGCACUUUUGAGACUAAUUUACCUUUUCUUUUUUUCUUUUUUUUCCACACCUACCAAACUAUCCAAACGAGUUUGCCCAGAACUGUGGAUCUUCCAUGCUUCACUGAAGCUAGGAAUCAGGGAACUUUUGUUUAUUUGGUCGUAAUUAGUCUAGUUUGGAGAAAACAAUUGAUGACUAAAGCACAAAGCAAAUAAUUCUACAACACUUAUGUAUAUUUUUUAAAAGUAUAUAUUAGUACUUAAACUGCACAUUCACUCUUGAUUGUAGUGAAAGAUGACAAUAGCAAGUGAAUACCAUUUAGUGUCAACUGUUAAUAUAUUUUAGAGUGGGCUUUAUUGAUAAUUGCAGUGAAA